rnacentral:rRNA from 1 species
CCUACGGGGGGCAGCAGUGAGGAAUAUUGGUCAAUGGGCUUACGCCUGAACCAGCCAAGUCGCGUGAGGGAAGACUGCCCUAUGGGUUGUAAACCUCUUUUGUCAGGGAGCAACGCCGGCUACGUGUAGCCGGACUGAGAGUACCUGAAGAAAAAGCAUCGGCUAACUCCGUGCCAGCAGCCGCGGUAAUACGGAGGGGGCAAGCGUUAUCCGGAUUUACUGGGUGUAAAGGGAGCGUAGACGGCGCUGCAAGUCCGGAGUGAAAGCCCAUGGCUUAACCAUGGUACUGCUCUGGAAACUGUGGAGCUUGAGUGCGGGAGGGGCAGGCGGAAUUCCUAGUGUAGCGGUGAAAUGCGUAGAUAUUAGGAGGAACACCGGCGGCGAAGGCGGCCUGCUGGACCGUAACUGACGUUGAGGCUCGAAAGCGUGGGGAGCAAACAGGAUUAGAUACCCGAGUAGUC